rnacentral:rRNA from 1 species
UACGUAGGGUGCGAGCGUUUGUCCGGAAUUAUUGGGCGUAAAGGGCUCGUAGGCGGUUUGUCGCGUCGGGAGUGAAACUCAGGGCUUAACCCUGAGCCUGCUUCCGAUACGGGCAGACUAGAGGUAUGCAGGGGAGAACGGAAUUCCUGGUGUAGCGGUGAAAUGCGCAGAUAUCAGGAGGAACACCGGUGGCGAAGGCGGUUCUCUGGGCAUUACCUGACGCUGAGGAGCGAAAGUGUGGGGAGCGAACAGG